GGGGAAUAUUGCACAAUGGGCGAAAGCCUGAUGCAGCGAUGCCGCGUGAGGGAAGAAGGUGUUAGGAUUGUAAACCUCUGUCUUCAGGGAAGAUAAUGACAGUACUUGAGGAGGAAGCUCCGGCUAACUACGUGCCAGCAGCCGCGGUAAUACGUAGGGAGCGAGCGUUGUCCGGAAUUACUGGGUGUAAAGGGAGCGUAGGCGGGAUUGCAAGUCAGAUGUGAAAUUUAUGGGCUUAACCCAUAACGUGCAUUUGAAACUGUAGUUCUUGAGUGAAGUAGAGGUAAGCGGAAUUCCUAGUGUAGCGGUGAAAUGCGUAGAUAUUAGGAGGAACAUCAGUGGCGAAGGCGGCUUACUGGGCUUUAACUGACGCUGAGGCUCGAAAGCGUGGGGAGCAAACAGG
rnacentral:rRNA from 1 species